rfam:Ciona savignyi cont_35828, whole genome shotgun sequence.
GUCGUCGUGGCCGAGUGGUUAAGGCGACAGACUAGAAAUCUGUUGGGCUCUGCCCGCACAGGUUCGAAUCCUAUCGGUGACG